GGAGAGUUUGAUCCUGGCUCAGGACGAACGUUGGCGGCGCGCAUAAUGCAUGCAAGUCGAACGAAGUCCCACCCUUCGGGGUGACGACUUAGUGGCAGACGGCUGAGUAACACGUGAGUGAUCUGCCUUUGGGUGAGGGACAACAGAGGGAAACUUCUGCUAAUACCUCAUACGAUCCAUGAUCUAAGGUCUUGGAUGAAAGGUGCCGGGUAACUGGUUGCCGCCCUUAGAUGAGCUCGCGGCCUAUCAGGUUGUUGGUGGGGUAAUAGCCUACCAAGCCUAAGACGGGUAGCUGGUGUGAGAGCACGACCAGUCAGAGGGGGACUGAGACACGGCCCCCACUCCUACGGGAGGCAGCAGCAGGGAAUCUUCCACAAUGGGCGAAAGCCUGAUGGAGCGACGCCGCGUGAGGGAUGAAGGCUCUAGGGUCGUAAACCUCUUUUCUUAGGGAAGAGCAAGGACGGUACCUAAGGAAUAAGUGACGGCUAACUACGUGCCAGCAGCCGCGGUAAUACGUAGGUCACAAACGUUGUCCGGAAUUAUUGGGCGUAAAGGGUCCGUAGGCGGUUCGGUAAGUCUCCUGUGAAAUCUUCAGGCUCAACUUGAAGAGGUCGGGGGAUACUGCUGAACUUGAGACUGACAGAGGCAAGUGGAAUUCCCGGUGUAGUGGUGAAAUGCGUAGAUAUCGGGAGGAACACCAAUGGCGAAAGCGGCUUGCUGGGUCAGUUCUGACGCUGAGGGACGAAAGCGUGGGUAGCAAACCGGAUUAGAUACCCGGGUAGUCCACGCCGUAAACGAUGAAUGCUAGGUUUUCGGGGUAUCGACCCCCUGGGAGCCGUAGUUAACGCGAUAAGCAUUCCGCCUGGGGACUACGGUCGCAAGACUAAAACUCAAAGGAAUUGACGGGGGCCCGCACAAGCAGCGGAGCGUGUGGUUUAAUUC
rnacentral:rRNA from 1 species